rnacentral:rRNA from 1 species
AUGACUAUUGUCAAUGGCGAGUUACAUCACUGCAGUGUCUUGGGGGCGUUUCAGCGCUGCGUUUCUCUUGAAGAAGGUUGUGAGAUUUUGCAUGAAAUCCACGAAGGGAAUUGCGGUCAUCAUGCCGGUUCAAAAUCCCUUGUGGCGAAGGCUUUCCGACACGGUUUUUACUGGUUAAUAGCUCAUGUUGAUGCUGAGGAUCUGGUCAGGAAGUGUGAUGGUUGUCAGAAAUUUUCACGCCGAGCCCACGUUCCGGCCCAGGAAUUGAGGAUGAUUCCAAUCACCUGGCCGUUUGCAACUUGGGGGCUUGAUAUGGUGGAGCCCUUUAAGAGGUCCAAGGACAAGACCCACCUUUUGGUGGCGGUUGAUAAGUUCACCAAGUGGGUGGAAGCAGAGCCAGUCAGCAAGUGUGACGCAGCCACGUCGGUUCAAUUCAUGAAGAGGGUGAUUUUCCGCUUUGGUUUUCCACACAACAUCAUAACAGAUAAUGGCACGAACCUCUCCAAGGGUGCUAUGGAAGAGUUCUGUCAGCGUGAGCACAUCCGGCUUGAUGUGUCAUCAGUGGCUCACCCCCAGUCUAAUGGUCAAGCGGAGAGAGCCAAUCAAGAAACCUUGAAAGGCAUCAAGCCCCGGUUUAUGAUUCCUUUGCAGAGGACGCCGAGUUGUUGGGUGGAAGAGUUGCCUUCCGUGUUAUGGAGCAUUAAUACCACCCCCAACAGAUCUAUGGGUUAUACACCCUUCUUUAUGGCUUAUAUAGCAGAAGCAGUUCUCCCAAGUGAUAUUCGCCAUGACUCACCCCGAGUGGCAGCUUAUGUUGAAGCGGACAACGAAAGAGCACGCCAAGAUGCAUUGGACCUGUUAGAUGAAAAAGGGACAUAG